GAUGAACGCUGGCGGCGUGCCUAAUACAUGCAAGUCGAGCGAACAGACGAGGAGCUUGCUCCUCUGACGUUAGCGGCGGACGGGUGAGUAACACGUGGAUAACCUACCUAUAAGACUGGGAUAACUUCGGGAAACCGGAGCUAAUACCGGAUAACAUGUUGAACCGCAUGGUUCAACAGUGAAAGACGGUCUUGCUGUCACUUAUAGAUGGAUCCGCGCCGCAUUAGCUAGUUGGUAAGGUAACGGCUUACCAAGGCAACGAUGCGUAGCCGAACUGAGAGGGUGAUCGGCCACACUGGAACUGAGACACGGUCCAGACUCCUACGGGAGGCAGCAGUAGGGAAUCUUCCGCAAUGGGCGAAAGCCUGACGGAGCAACGCCGCGUGAGUGAAGAAGGUCUUCGGAUCGUAAAACUCUGUUAUUAGGGAAGAACAAAUGUGUAAGUAACUAUGCACGUCUUGACGGUACCUAAUCAGAAAGCCACGGCUAACUACGUG
rnacentral:rRNA from 1 species